UACGUAGGGGGCAAGCGUUGUCCGGAAUUAUUGGGCGUAAAGAGCGCGUAGGCGGUCCGAUAAGUCGGCUGUGAAAGUCAGGGGCUCAACCCUUGAAAGCCGGCCGAUACUGUCGGACUAGAGUCCGGAAGAGGCAAGUGGAAUUCCCGGUGUAGCGGUGAAAUGCGUAGAUAUCGUAAGGAAGACCAGUGGCGAAGGCGGGUCUCUGGACAGUUCCUGACGCUGAGGCACGAAGGUCAGGGGAGCAAACGGG
rnacentral:rRNA from 1 species